UACGAAGGGUGCUAGCGUUGUUCGGAAUCACUGGGCGUAAAGCGCGCGUAGGUGGCUUUUCAAGUCAGGGGUGAAAUCCUUGGGCUCAACCCAAGAAUUGCCUCUGAAACUGUGAAGCUUGAGUGUCGGAGGGGAUAGCGGAAUUGCUAAUGUAGAGGUGAAAUUCGUAGAUAUUAGCAGGAACACCGGUGGCGAAGGCGGCUAUCUGGACGACAACUGACACUGAGGCGCGAAAGCGUGGGGAUCAAACAGG
rnacentral:rRNA from 1 species